CCUUAAGAUGUCGUGUUGUUGAGUGUUCACACAGAUUGCCUUGAUUCAAAGUAGUUAGAGCAAAGACCUGAUGUGCAAGCAUCAGUGCUUGUUUGGUGAAAGCCAAACGAGAGAAGCCCGUUCGUUGGGUUGGGAUGUGAAUGGCGGCGAAAGUCGUUACCCAAGCCAGAGUUAGCGAUAACAACGAACAGCGCUAAAGGCCGCUAGCCUCGCAGGCUCGGCGUCGCCUUUACGAAAAUCAUUGCGAAGUUUACUUCGCAAAACAUGAUUUUCGUCCCCUUCGUCUAGAGGCCUAGGACACCGCCCUUUCACGGCGGUAACAGGGGUUCGAAUCCCCUAGGGGACGCCACUUCUCUUGCUUAAGAAUACAGACAUAAGCAGUCAUGUUUAUGUCUGUUUUCUUCGGAAAACAUGCUCUUUAACAAUCUGGAAAGCUGAUUUAAAAAGUAGUUCUCAAACAUUUGUUACAAGUGCUUUGGAAACUUCUUGGCGAAAACCAAAUUUUAUUUGGUCCUUGUUGUACGACAACAAGCCGUGCCGGUUUCACCGACACUUCUUGGGGUCGUAU
rnacentral:tRNA from 1 species